rfam:Bacteroides nordii CL02T12C05 genomic scaffold supercont1.1, whole genome shotgun sequence.
GUAAAAACAAAGGGGUGCCCUAUAGGGGCUGAGAUUAUACCCUGGAACCUGAUGCAGUUAGUACUGACGUAGGGAUUGUGUUACUUUUAUCG